rnacentral:rRNA from 1 species
UGGGGAAUAUUGCACAAUGGGGGAAACCCUGAUGCAGCGACGCCGCGUGAGCGAAGAAGGUUUUCGAAUCGUAAAGCUCUGUCCUAUGAGAAGAUAAUGACGGUAUCAUAGGAGGAAGCCCCGGCUAAAUACGUGCCAGCAGCCGCGGUAAUACGUAUGGGGCGAGCGUUGUCCGGAAUUAUUGGGCGUAAAGGGUACGUAGGCGGUCUAUUAAGUCAGGUGUGAAAGCGUGAGGCUUAACCUCAUUAAGCACUUGAAACUGAUAGACUUGAGUGAAGGAGAGGAAAGUGGAAUUCCUAGUGUAGCGGUGAAAUGCGUAGAUAUUAGGAGGAAUACCGGUGGCGAAGGCGACUUUCUGGAAUUUUACUGACGCUCAGGUACGAAAGCGUGGGGAGCAAACAGG